UUUUCGCAAUGCCCGAAAGGGUGACGAAGCGACGCCGCGUGGGUGAGGAAGGCCCUCGGGUUGUAAAGCCCUGUCAGGAGUUAAGAAAUGUAGGUACGCUAAUAUCGUACUUAUUUGACAAAGGCUCCAAAGGAAGCCACGGCUAACUCUGUGCCAGCAGCCGCGGUAAUACAGAGGUGGCAAGCGUUGUUCGGAAUUAUUGGGCGUAAAGAGCACGUAGGUGGAUUUGUAAGUCAGAUGUGAAAGCCUUCUGUUCAACGGGAGAAUUGCAUCUGAAACUACAAACCUUGAGUGUAGGGGGGGAGAAUGGAACUUCUGGUGGAGCGGUGAAAUGCGUAGAUAUCAGAAGGAACGCCGGCGGCGAAAGCGAUUCUCUGGCCUAUUACUGACACUCAGUGUGCGAAAGCUAGGGGAGCAAACGGGAUUAGAUACCCCGGUAGUCCUAGCCGUAAACGAUGGGCACUAAGUAGAGGGGUUUUAA
rnacentral:rRNA from 1 species